CUAGGUUGUGGAUUCCUCUUGAUUGAUACAGAUCUGGGAAUUGAACCCAAUACCCCUACUCGGCGGUGACUAGUACACCUUAUCUCUUCGAAACCCUAGCUAAGAGCCGUCGCUUUAUCUCUUUUCUCUUCUUCUUCUUCCCUUGUACUCCUCCGAUCCCCAAUCUCAUCUAUCACCACCUGACCUGAUCUUUCCCUGCAGAUCUCAUUGAGAAAGAGAAGAGAAGAGAUAUUCUUUUUUCCAAAGAAGAAAAUCUUGGCCGCGCGCGCGAGAUCUUUGCGCAAAAGAUGAUAUAUGAUGCCUGAUCGAUCUUCUCGUUUCGGAUCUUAUUAUUGCUCGGCUAAUUAGUAUUAUUAACGCUGCUAGCCAGGGCCUUUGAUCCGCGUGGUCGUGGUCGUCGGUGAGGCAGCCGGGCAGGCCGACUCCCAUGCAUGGAAGCUCGCUUCAGGGUCAAGUCAACUGAUUAUGUUUUUCAUUAAUUUGUUGGUAAUUAAUUUUUUUAUAUGUACGUACAUAUAUAUAUAGCUCGGAUGGUUUGGUAUUUCUUUCUCAGAUCUAUAUAUAUUGCAAGGGGAUCGGAGUGUCGUUAGUUACACGGUAUUUAUUAUAGAGUUUUUGGGAUAGAGAGAGAUUUCUGACUAUUAGCUAGACUAGACUGAAGGCUUUUGUUUCUUUUCUUCUUUGAUUUGAUCUGAUCUGUUCAAUGGAGAACAUUUUUAUGGAAGCCGAGGGCAGGGGAUAGCUAGCCGGAGGUGCUCCUAGUCCGUGAUAUGGAAGGGGCUAUAUAUUCAACUGCAACGCUAUUGGUCCUCCAAUCCAUUUUAUCUCGGCCCCUGAAACUCAAGUUGUUUUGAUACAAUUACAAUUAAUAAUCAACAACUGGGUGGUUGUGGUGAAAACUCUCAGCAUUGCAAGACCAAUGCCCCUCAGCCUGGACAGCACAAAGGCACAUUACACCAUGAUGAUGGCGCCCACUAAAUAAAUUUGUUACCACCUACCAUUUUUCAUCGUUGUGUGUUUGGAUUACUGAGCGUGAACAAAGGGGUCCUAUAUAUCUGUUGGACUGAGCAGGGAAAGAUAGAUAGUACUUGAGGGGGAUGGUGCUCUAUCUUUGUUGGAUUGUACUGUCUUACUGAUUAGCGAUUUCUAUUCAUGUGUCGGUUAGCUCAAUAGCUGUUAAACUUUAUAUUUGAUAACUAUUUUAUAUAUAUUUUGGGCUGAUAAUACUAGGACUUCUUUGGGAGGAGGGCUUAGCUAUUCCUCAAGUUUAGAGUUAGUUUUGUUAAGAUCACAGUAGUUGGAUUUUCUUGACGAUGGCUCAUUGACUACUGUAUUUUAUUACAACUAGCUUUCUCAUGUAACUUGAGUUGGAUCAUUGAUGAUAUUCUGUUUGUUUGAUUUUUGACAAUGACAAUUACUUCUGUUACAAAAUCUUUUUUGUAUUUGAUUUUUGAGAUUCACAUUUUACUUUUUGCAAUUUAAUAUUUGAUUUGCGUUUUAUCUGUGAGAUACUUGGAUUUUAAUAUUUGAUUUUUAAGAUAGAUUUCUAGGUAGGUAGGUAGAUAAAUAGGUAUUGAGAGAGAUGGAGGAAGAGCGAGAGGGAGGGCGAAGGAGAGGGAUUGUUUUGAUCAUCACCAUGUAUGUUGUUGUGUGUGAGUUUUAUACUGAGUGUAGCGAAGAAACUGACCCUAGGUUAACUUUUGGUCGUUAGUCUUCUUCUGCGUCUACAUUUGCUUGUAGCAGUAUAAUAGAGUCUGCUGCUUCAUGGGUUUUGAUGUCACUUUUGCUUGCCAAAUUCUUUCUACUCAUGUUUAGAGUUAGGGUAGAGCAAUGACAGCUCUGCUAGUGCAAACAACAAUGUGGCCAGUACUGUAUCUGUAUACAGUACAAGUUUUGCCUAGUAGCUAGUGUGGCUCCUUCUGACUGCAUCUAAUUUGAUUUCUUUCCCCAUUUGUAAUUUUAACUCUAUACUCUGACGGUGCAAUAUGGCGUCAAUUGAAACAAUUUUUACUAGUUUUUGGAUUGAGCCUGUGACCUGUUUGGAUGUUUUCUUUAUUUUGAACUGUUUUGCAGAUAUGGGACACUUCAAUCUUUGUGGCUGAUUUCUUGUUUCUCAAGAUUGUACAUCCAUGAGACAAUUGAAUCCCUAGACUAGCACAGGCCAUUUCCAGUGUAUAGUAGAGCAGUGAUAAAAAUGCAAGACAUGCAGAAAUGGAAUAACAAAAAUUCAAAAAAAAAUCAGAAGGCUCUCAUAGUGUGGCAUGAAACUUUAAAAAAUUCUGUACUGUUGAUAAUUACUGCCACAAAUAUUCAGAAUUUGAUCUGUUUUAUCGACAGCUGGUGCUGAUUGAUAUUUUGAAUUUAUUUCCUAUAGAAAACAAAUGUUAUUAGUCAUAUCUUCAAAGGUAUAUUUCAUACUCUUUAAGUUGCAAACUUGCAAUGCUUUUCAAUGUUGCCCUAUAUGUAUCAUCGUGCCAAUUAACUCUAAAUGAAUUUACAGUUAGGUUAGGAUUUCUGUCUGUUGUAACAAUAUUCCUGAUACAUACUUUUGUAACACAUGGCUAACUAUCUAACUAAUAAUCAUACUCAUGUCAAUUCGUCCUUCAUUAUUGCUUGCAACAUUUGAUCUUAAUUGGCUCAACCAGGAGUUGGUUCUCUAAUUUGCUCUACCGAAUUUUGUUAGAAUGGCACCAAUAAUCAGAUAUGUUUAGGCUAUUGAUAUAUCUGCAUUUUUCUUCAUUGAGAAUGGUAAGUUUUUUUGUGCAAAUAUUAGCUUCUGAUUUAUUAGUUUUGUUAGAAUUGCCGUGUUUUGAUUGCAGCCUUUGGUGUUGUACUUCAUGGUUAACUAACCAUGCCUGCCUUAUUACAGAGAAGGUAAGGAUUCAACCAGGGAACGAGGGAGGUGGGAGGCCAGGUACAAUGGGCUAUUAGGGAGGAUAGUGCAAAGGAUCAUCACGUGACUGAACAAAAAAAACUUGCUGAAGCAUUUUCUAACUGUGGGCAAGCAAGAUAUGUACUCUUUUCUAUCUGUGGACAAGUAGUCCUGUCUGAAUAGUUUUGGUAGCAUUAAACUAGCAUAUAACAUAAGUAUCAUAUAAGUUUUUUCACCAAAACCAAGAAAGCCUUAACUUUCAUGCAUUUAUUUAAAGUGAGUUUGUGGUCGGGAAAAAUCAACAAACAUGAAGACUUUUAACUCCCCCCAUACACAAGAAAUGAGAGCUUUACUAUCCCAAAGUCUGCAUGCAUGCAUGCAUGCAAACUCAAUUUGCAUGCAUAAAUGCAAUGAUACUACAUGUCAAACGAAGGGGGUCAGGCCCCAUAUAAAUACUAUGAUCAAUUUGGAUUUUUUGAUUUUUAGUUAUAUGAUGAUCAAUAUGGAAUGAAGGGAGUAUUAGAGUUGAUUUUGUUACACUAUAGCAACUGGAUUUCAGAAGGAGGGCUUAGUGAUUCCUGUAGUUUAGAGCUAUUUGUUUAUCUAAAUAUAUAGAGUUAAAGACCGCGCAUGAUGAUUUACUGGAGAUUAGUUACACUAAUAAAAUUUUAAGUUCACAUUUUCGUUUCCUCUUUCUUGUUUGUUCCCUUGGUGCUGUUCAAUGCUUACUCUUGCAUGCGGCUAGCCUUGGUCCUGCCGCCUGAGUGAUAUCGUGCUAUAUGGAAUAAGCAUGACACCCCGCCACUUAUUCAGAUCAUCUGAUGCGAGGACCAUCUCUGUAUAAUCUAAAUUAAUUGAUAAUUUUUAUUUUCAAUAGACUAUUUGUCUCAGUUAUGAUGGUGCAAACACAUAAUUUGUUUGUAUAACUAUAUGAAAGCAUUUUGGAUUAUGUUCAAAAUUUGCUGUAGUUGUGAUUAAAUGGAAAUGCCUGCUUGAGCAUGGAUAUUGACUACUGCGAAUACACAGUUUGCGUGAAGCUUUAUUCACUUGAGUUAAGUUGGUUUUUAUUCCUAUGGUUCUUGCUGUCUAAUCUGAGAGUUUCUUUUUUGUCUUUAAACUGCAUGUCUGCCACACGUUUGAGAUAACAAUCUUUUCUUAAAUUUGCUUUCCAAGGCACACGGAUUGUCCUAAAAUGUUGUGGAAUUGGGAAGCAUAAAUUAUCCCAGCCAGCAGAAUGUUCUGCAUGUUGAUAUUAAUUUAAUUUCUUGAUUAGGAUUGGGGGUGGUAAAUUUGCAGAUCUGUUUUGCAUAGCUGAUACAUUUUUGUGUCCCCUGUACUUUUUUUCAUAACGAAUCGUUUCUUCCACUUAAGAAUCAUUUUUGUAUGCCUCCCAGCUUCAAGGGUAUAGGAAGGUUUGCAAGAUCAACAGUUGGAAACCUAGGCUUUUCAUACAGCACUUUCCUUCAACUAGGAUUUUAGUGAUAUCUAAUUUCAGGGUUGUCAAGUAUAUAUACUCAUUAAUUGUUGUAGAGUAGGGCCAUGACUAAUUUUGCAAUUGAGAUUUAUAGCUAAACUUGGACAAAGAGUUGGCUCACGCACUAUUUGUUUUUUGUUUAUUUCUAGAGAUGUAAGGGGGCAAAUCCAACGACUGAGGAACAGGGUGAAUGGAGAGCAGCCUUCUCAUUAUGUAUCAGCAUGUGAUGCAAAGAUAUAUAGUCUUGUUGUAAAGAUCAAGAUAAUCAGAUUAUUAAUUGGACCGUAGACAGUAGCAUCAAGAACUUCCUCUUAUCUAAAGCUCUAGUUAGGCCUUGUAACUAAUUUGCUUGCACUAAAAACUUUUAUGGGCAUUCAGAGCUUGUUUGGUUGCUGCCCUGGCCUGGGGGCUGUCGCUCAGGCAUGUCGAUCCAGCCGUAGGCGUACAAAAUCGGACGCCUGAGAGUUGCGCCUGAGUCAGGCGAGUUUUCCAGGACACGAAGCAAACAGGCUCUCAGUGACAAGGAAGCUGAAAUCAGAUGGCAAUUAAUGUGGAUAUGAUACUUGCGCACAAUCUUAACGAAGGUAUGUUUAAUGCUUUUUUUUAGCUUUGGGUACAUCUUGAUUGCAUUUUGGAUGUUUUUUUAUUGAGUAAAUUGCAGAUUGGUCCUGUUUUUAUUACCAAAGUGUCACUUUGGGCCACCUCCAAUUCAAUCUUUUCACUUAAAGCCAGCUAUUAUUACCAAUUCUUUGCAAUUUGGGCUAGUGGCCCACCUGUCAGUAGGCGGUGGAGGAGGAAGAGGAGCACGGCACGGCGAUGGCGCCCGUGCCCCUAGAUUGGCAAAGCAGCGGCGACGAUGGCUCCAGCUCCGUGCAGCGGCGCCAUCACCACCAUGGGCGGCCUGAGCACCGACGCCCUAUCCCUCUCCUUCUCUACUGUUGCUCGACCUAGAGAAGAAGAAACAGAAAGAGAGAAGGAAGAAGGAAGAAAGAGAAACAGAAAAGAGGACAGCAGCAGAGGAGUUCGCAAGACUUCUGACAGGUGGGCCACUAGCCCAAAUUGCAAAGGAUUGGUAACAAUAGCUGGCUUUAAGUGAAAAGAUUGAAUUGGAGGUAGCCCAAAGUGGCACUUUGGUAAUAAAAGCUGGACCAAUCUGCAAUUUACUCUUUUUUAUUCUAUUAGUGGGUUCAAGGGAAUAAUAUAAGGCAAAUUACUUCCUUUUCAAAAUCUAGGAUACCGUUGACUUUUCGUACUAACAUUUGACGUUCGUCUUAUUCAAAAAUUUAAUAUAAAUAUGUAAUUGUAUAAGCUAAGAUUAUAUUGUAGAAAUUUAAUAUAAUUAAAUGAUAUAAGGCAAAUGGUCAAACAUUAUGCUAAAAAUCAAUGACGUCAUACAUUUUGAAAUGGAGGGAGUACUUGAUUUUUGUUCUUGUGAGAUGAGGUUGCAAGUCUCCUCUGUAAUGAUGUAUAAACUUGCCUGGCCAAAAAUAAUAAUAAUAAUAAUAAUCUGGCCCAACUGUUGUUAGGUUUAUUUUGUGACAGAAAAUUUCGUGGUAGUAAAAAUUCCAGAAAGUAAUAGUAGUAUAUAUAGUAGUAAAUAAUAACAAAGAAGGAUUUUUUUUGUCCAUGUGGAGCAUACUGGGCCCAUGGAUCUAUUUAGUUGGGGAUGUGGGCCGAAUAAGCUGUUUCGUGGGCCUGCGGAUCUGCUAACGAGCUGCUAGGUCUCCAUUGGUACCCUGUGCUUGCCUCCUCCAUACCCUCGCCUCGAGCUCGAGAAGGGGGGGCGGCGGCUGCUGCUCGCGCUCGGCUACUCCGGCCAAGGACGUCUCCCUCAGCCGGCCCCGACGCCUGCCCUCUUGCCCCAACUUCCCCGCGUUAAGAUCAAGAACCGAGGGUUUCUCACUGCAAAGGCUUUGGUUUUUUCCUGAGAGGAGAUGUCUGGGAAGAGAGCUUUCUGCACGGCAGUGGAGUCUGGCAGAAAAACUCCAGAGUUUUGCUAUCUUCUUGGUUUCAGCGGUGUUGUUGCGCUCCCAGGCGAUAGGUUUCAACCUUUGGAUGAUUUUUUGUCUGAGAAUCCUUUUCUGUCACCUAUUCCAUUAGGAAGGCUCUAUGAAAACAUUGAUCCAGCAAAGCCUUAUAUGCUAGAGGACCCUAUUCGUCGGGCAGUAUGGUCUGGAUCCCUUGCACCUUAUAUAGCCAACAAAGUGAAAAUGUCCCUGAGCCACAUCCUCACUAAGGAAAAUGUGGGGGUGCAUAAGGAUUUUGGCUUGGUGGUGUUCAAAGAUGUGCCAAAAAAGAGAGAGGGCAUAUCUGAUUCGAGCGAAAACUACCAACACUACAGCAGUUUCUUGACAGAGACCAUACAAAGGCUUCAUGGGUCUGAGUCCCUCAAUGCCCUUCCAGUGGAAAUGGAUAUAUACCUUAAAGAUUUGACAGAUCCGAAUGUUAAGGAGGAUGAUAUUGUGGACCAUCCCAUAGCACUACCAGGAAGGGUAUUUGGGGAUGUUUCUGUUGAAGCCUAUCGACUACUGUGCAAGCAAUAUCCUGUAGUAAAGAAUGGGAAGGAAAUUUCAGCGGAUCGCAUUAUUGAGGCUGUUGGUGCAAAAUUCAAGGAUGCACUGACUGUGUCUCUUGACAGUGGACUAUUGCCAAAAUUCUUACCUCUGAAAUGGCAGAAGUUAUACCCAGCUAACAAAUAUCCAUGGAUACCUAAGCCCCAAUUGAUUAUCUCACAAGAAGAGGCUGGAAAAAUAGUUAUUGAGAUUCACCGGCAUGGAUCUGUCCAUUCGGUCGAAGUAGGUGUUGAUACUAUUGUGACUUCCAAUUUCCCUGGCUUUUCUGGUGAUAAGUUCACGCGCAUGGAGGUACUCGCGCUCAUUCGUCACAUUUUCCCAGAAUAUCUCAACACGAUAUUUAAGGAAUUCAAGAUGGACAAUCUAUAUGAAGAUCUGCAAAUUAGGGAAAGAAAUCCUAUUCCCAGCCUGUACAGUGCUCAGGGCGAUGGUGUUUACGCUGAAGUGAUUGUCAAGUUCAUUGGGUUUUGAAGCUUCGGCAUGCGGGAGAUGUAAUGUUUGGAUGUCAGCAAGCGCUGCAAGUUCUGAUAGCUAAAGAGGUGAUUCUGGGUUUUUGGAUGGCGUUGUUCCUGUCAAGUACUUAGAGAAGAUUGAAACGUGGCCAGGGAGAGAACCGAUACCAUUUCAAAACUAGAGACCACGCUCAGGCUGUAGCUUCAGGAGUUGAGAUUCCAGAUCAGAAACUCUUUCAACGGACUGCUGGUGUUGAAAUAGGGCUGCAUCCUUCUCGGUGUUUAACUGUGAAAUGGUGCUCCUUAGGCUUUGGAUUUCAUUUUGAAGUUCGUUCCUUGAAUCCGUCAGAGAAUUAAUUUCAUCACGAAGUUCUUGUAUAAGCAGCUCAGAGGAGCGGUUUUGUUCAGUCAUCCAAAUCAAAAGGGAGACGGGUGAAAGUGGGCAGGUCUGGAGUAUGUGGUUCCACUUCUUGGCCCGAAGAAGAAGGUGACUCAUCAGACAUUGGUGGCAUCUGAUUGGGAAAUGCUUCAGAAAUCGAUUUAUGGGCCUGUCGAAGUGCACCGGUGGCCUGAUCAUACCUUUCUGCCAAUGCACGGUAAGCUCGGUAGAACUCCUCCACCAGUUUCAUUAGCUCUGGGCGUUUCUUGUAGUACAUCUCUGCUCUCCGUGCAAAAGAAUCAGCAUCUUCAUUGAGAAGUUUGAUCAUAGCUUUCACCUUUGAGUCCAUAUCUGUUGCAUAAUUCAAGUGCUGAGGAAGUGAGGUCUUAAUUAUUGUUUGGAGUUGGUCCGUGUUGCUUUCGUGGCACCAAUGGCGGCCUUGGUUGGUCAUGACGCGAGGCAGUAUUCGUGGUGGUGGGUUAGUCAUAUCAGCCCCAAGAACUCCAAAUGGCUCCAAGAAAAUCUCAAUGGUGGGGUCUUUUUCUGUGUUUAGCUCAUAUUCUCAUGUUUAUUCAUUGCUUUGAGGUUUGAGCAUAUAUCAUGAAAUUGCCAUUAGUGUUGCACUAGAUAUUUACUGGCCAAAGAAGCAGCGAUAUGCUUUUUUUUGAUUGUUUCAAUGUAGCAGUAUAUUUUCAAGGCACAUGGUGUGCAUGCAAGCCAGUUAUUCAUACAUGGAAUUUUUUAUCCCCCCCC